GACGAACGCUGGCGGCGUGCCUAAUACAUGCAAGUAGAACGCACAGUUUAUACCGUAGCUUGCUACACCAUAGACUGUGAGUUGCGAACGGGUGAGUAACGCGUAGGUAACCUGCCUGGUAGCGGGGGAUAACUAUUGGAAACGAUAGCUAAUACCGCAUAAUAUUGAUUAUUGCAUGAUAAUUGAUUGAAAGAUGCUAUUGCAUCACUACCAGAUGGACCUGCGUUGUAUUAGCUAGUAGGUGAGGUAACGGCUCACCUAGGCGACGAUACAUAGCCGACAUGAGAGGGUGAUCAGCCACACUGGGAGUGAGACACGGCACAGACGGCUACAGGAGGCAGCAGGAGGGAAACGUCGGCAAUGGACGAAAGACUGAGCGAGAAACGCCGCGGGAGGGAAGAGGGUUGUCGGAUCGUAAAGCUCUGUUGUAAGAGAAGAAAGGGUGUGAGAGUGGAAAGUUCACACUGUGACGGUAACGGACCAGAAAGGGACGGCUAACUACGUG
rnacentral:rRNA from 1 species